GCGAAGGAAGUGCCGUGGGUGGGGGGAAGACGUAGGGGGGGAGGGUGGUCCGGAAAUAUGGGGCGGAAAGGGCGCGGAGGCGGUUUGGCGAGUCGGGAGUGAAAGCGACUGGCUUAGCGGGGGGCUGGCGUUCGAUACGGGCAGACUGGAGGUAGGCAGGGGAGAACGGAAUGCCGGGUGUAGCGGUGAAAUGCGCAGAUAUCAGGAGGAACACCGGUGGCGAAGGCGGUUCUCUGGGCAUGUCCUGACGCUGAGGAGCGAAAGUGUGGGGAGCGAACAGGAUGAGAUACCCGAGUAGUC
rnacentral:rRNA from 1 species